CAGGAUGCACAGGCUCUGACAACCCACAGACACACCCAGCAUGUUGCAUGUUCUACAACAUGAGCAUACUUCAGUGGCAAAGUGGCAGAGCUGAAGUUGACAUUGGCCUGCAUGCCCAGAAAUGUGCGAGGGCCUGACCGUGUGCAUCAGCAGAGCUGUCUAAGGUGAGGCCAGCCUUGCCUUCCUCAAAUGAUGGCUACUUGGUUAUUCCAUGAUACUUAUUUAUUUAGAUACAAUGCUGAAUAUGGCUUUUGUUUAUGUUUUAAUUUUAUUUAUGUUUUUAAAAUAAUCUAUGUUUAAUAAGUGAGAUUGGCCUCUUGUCUUGUUUUCUCUUAUAAUCUGACAUUUUUCACAGCAUCUUUAAUUAGUCUCACAAAGAGAGUUGCAGUAAGUACCCCUGCUUUUAAAAAAUUCCCUGGAAUAGUUUGUGUAAAAGUUCUCUUUCCUGAAACUUUUGGUAUACAUAACACAAUCUGUGCCUUGAGCGUGGUUUAAAUGCCAUUAAACUUCUAACAACAAAUAAUUUUAUUAUAUUUUAAUGUCCUCAAUAGUUAUCCAUAAGUUUUUAUUAUUUUGAUUUGAAAAAUAAUGCUAAUAUCAUACUCUUUGUUGUUGUUGUUUUUUGUUUCUUUUUGUUUUUUGAUAAUUCCCAAUUCCUGUCUGUAAUGUAUCCUGAGAAACUUCGGAGGAAUGACCUUCCUGAUUCCGCUGUGCAGCUUUCAGGACUGCCUAUGACCCCCAAACAAAGUCUGAACCCCAGCCCCACUCUUAGGACGACACCUGGCUUGUACAACCACUAUGGAAAUCAGUCUG